AGGUGCUCAUUCGGUAAAUGUUAAACAAAAGCUUCUAACGAACUUGCAAUUCAAUUUACAAUUUGUGGAGUUUAUAAAAAAUCGCAUGCGAGUUCUUUCAUCUGACAUCUCUAUCGCCUAAUUGCUGCUAAUUCACAAACAACAUUGCAAGGAGAAGCCACAUCUACUGUAAUGUAGUAGGCGAGUGCAUUACCCCUUCGCUAUGCUGCGAUGUGCAUAAGGCAAACGAAGGUGGACAAAAACAAUGGACGCCCUCUCAACACUCAGACUCCAUAACAUACAACAAACACAACAGCAUCACUGCUGUCGUGGAGAACUAUACACACUCUCCUCUAUACAUUUGCUCAGCGGCAGUCAAUUGGAAUUUUUCAAUCGCGAUCGGUCAAUGGUCGAAUUGCGCGUCGGUUCGUGUUGCGGGAAAAAUAGUAAUAAACGCGUAAGAAAUUUAUAGUAAAAGUGCUUUUUAUUAUUAUUUUGUUUAAUUUGAAAGCUUGAGUCAGAGUUGUGCAGUUUAAAUGGAAACUUAAAUUCAGUGAAAAGUUGUAAGUGUUCUAGUAAAAGCAAAAAUGUGUGUGAAGUGAAAUAAAAUAGUGUGUGCAAAGUCAGUUUAGUUUUCUAUGAUAUGUUUGUGUUUGUUAAUGGUGUUAAUAGUGAAGUGAGUGGAAAUCGAAUAUUAUAUAUCAUUUGUAAAUAUCAUAAAUAGUGCUGUAGUGAAUUAGCGAAUUAAUUUCAUUUUAAAUAUAUUUCGUCAAAUAUGAAGUGAAGCGUUCGUUCUUUCGAUGUUCGUCUAUCAUCGUUUUCUAAUUAACCAACAACGUCGUUCGUAUAAACCAACAAAUACUAACAGCUCAGGAGAGUAAUCAAUUUUUGGCUCUACACCUUAAAGCAAACGGCAGCAAAGAGCAAACAAACAAAAUCUUUGGCAGUUAAGAAACAAAGAAACGCCACACUCCAUAUGCCUACUACAUGCUGUUCUACAAAAUUUAAUAAAAAGACGCUGCUGGAAGCUGAAGUGAGGAGGGAGGCAACGAGACAAAUGCAGUGAUAAUAAUUUUGGCUAAUCGUUAAAGGAAGCCGCAUUAGAUAACGGCACGCUUGCCCUGCUCUCGCGCCCUAAAAUCUCUUUGCAACCUCACAAGUUGCGGCAAGACAAUGGCGAAUAUUUCUUUGCAUUUGUUUUCGUUUUUCGCAUAAACGCACCAGCAUGCCGUCGUGAUAUCUUCAGCAGUUGGAAAUGUAUUCUGCAAAAUAUAACUUUGCACGCCACUGUCUUCUAUCCAAACAAUAAGUCGUCCCCUAUCAACACAUACACUUUUGGCAGUUGGCUCUUGUUGUUGCCAAACAAAAAGUGCCACAUAAAUCAUACAAACUUACGCAUAAAUUUUCUACACGCAGCGCUCUCCCUCCGUACAGCUCCACCUGAGCCAGCGACCUGACACUAUCUGUCAGCUUUCACGUGAGUCGGUCACAAACUUUGCGCACCAAGAACAGGCAUCCAAGCAACGGAA